CACUCCUACGGGAGGCAGCAGUGGGGAAUAUUGGACAAUGGGCGCAAGCCUGAUCCAGCCAUGCCGCGUGAGUGAUGAAGGCCCUAGGGUUGUAAAGCUCUUUCACCGGUGAAGAUAAUGACGGUAACCGGAGAAGAAGCCCCGGCUAACUUCGUGCCAGCAGCCGCGGUAAUACGAAGGGGGCUAGCGUUGUUCGGAUUUACUGGGCGUAAAGCGCACGUAGGCGGACUAUUAAGUCAGGGGUGAAAUCCCGGGGCUCAACCCCGGAACUGCCUUUGAUACUGGUAGUCUUGAGUUCGAGAGAGGUGAGUGGAAUUCCGGGUGUAGAGGUGAAAUUCGUAGAUAUUCGGAGGAACACCAGUGGCGAAGGCGGCUCACUGGCUCGAUACUGACGCCGAGGUGCGAAAGCGUGGGGAGCAAACAGGAUUAGAAACCCGUGUAGUCCCAUG
rnacentral:rRNA from 1 species